AGACUCUGAUGCCAAAAAACUUCCACUUUAUCCAAAUGGAUGGUUCGGAAUACUCGAAUCUUGGGAACUUGGCCUGGAGAAAGUGAAAUACGUCGCGGCAUUAGACCGGACCAAGCUACUUCGAGUUCACCGGAUCAACAACUUUUGGAAACCCUAGGUUUACAAUGUGUCUUACGCCAGUUGCACCCCUCACCCUCCGACUAACGACGCGGUUCUAUAUGCGGCCAUAUGCAAUCCUCGCAGGACGAAUCUCGUUGUAUGGAUAUAAAAAUAUCAUGAUGGAUGACAUCAUGGUAUGGAAUUACGGGAAAGCAAGACCAAACCUGAAUGUUAUAAAGGAAGAUGGAUCCAUAGCCCCAUUCAGACGAUGGUACAGUCAAUUCUAUUCGAAAAACAGUCCUUCCUUGAACUGUCAGGAUACUAUUUUUUAGCAAGUUUUAAAGACCAAGUCCUCUCUAUUUGACAUCCUUUAAAUGAAGUCUAUGAGGUAGCUGCUAAGCAAAAAUAUGGAAGACUUCUGAGGAAAAUAUAAUAUUUGUACCCCUUUCUUCACACUUCUAAUUUUAUGAUCAAACUCACUUCAGGUGCCUUAUAGCCAUUAGAUGUUUCGGAGGCUAAUACAUCUCAUAUACUACACUGUUAAAAAUAACUAAGGGACUACGACCCCUGACCGCUCCGCAGGCCAACCCCCCGAGGGGCCACCUCACGGACUUUUAAGCGCUCAGCCGAUAGGCAGCGCUUUUGAUUUCGACUUGCCUCUAGAAUACUAGUAUACUAGUGCUAAUUCGUUCAAAUGGCUCACCAGCUCAUCGAUGCGACGGCGGAUAGGGGCCGUAUAAUUUUAGAAUAAAUAAAUCUGUGAUAACCGUAUUUUAUGCUUCUUAACCUAAUGCGCGGGUAGUUACGACCGCUUUUCUAAAAUAAAUUGCUUUAGCGGUAGAGUAAUUCUUAUCGAAAUUGAUCGUUGAAAAUUUGACGAGAGGAAUGAAACUCGCCUGAUGAACUCAACGGUGUUUAUCAUUUUCGGGAAACGAAAAAACGCGUUUACAUAGGUAGAGGUUUUAAGAGGUAGUGGCUAGUUAGGCUUCGAAAAACAGCUGUGAAGCAUGUGGCCAAUAAGUGCACGUAAUCUCUGAACAUGCCUCUUAAUUCUCCGACCUAUAAGUCCAUCUUUAGUUAAAGAUACAUUCAUUUUAACGGGUUAUGCAUCUCCUAAAAUUGGAA
rnacentral:lncRNA from 1 species